AGUGAACGCUGGCGGUAUGCCUAACACAUGCAAGUCGUACGCCAGCCCAGUAAUAGCUUGCUCUUACAGGUGGCGAGUGGCGGACGGGUGAGGAGUACAUCGGAAUCUACUUUUUCGUGGGGGCUAACGUAGGGGAACUUACGCUAAUACCGCAUACGACCUCCUGUUCAAACCAAGGGAUCUUCAGACCUUGCGCGAUUCAUUGAGCCGAUGGCGGAUUAGCUAGUUGGCGGGGUAAAGACCCACCAAGGCGACGAUCCGUAGCUGGUAUGAGAGGAUGAUGAGGCACACUUGAAAUGGGACACGGUCCAGAGUGCUACAGGAGGCAGCAGUGGGGAAUAUUGGACGAUGGGCGCAAGCCUGAUCCAGCCAUACCGCGUGGGUGAAGAAGGCCUUCGGGUUGUAAAGCCCAUUUGUUGGGAAAGAAAAGCAGCAGCUGAAGACCACGCUGUUCUGACGGUACCCAAAGAAUAAGCAACGGCUAACUUCGUG
rnacentral:rRNA from 1 species